ACCAGCCAUGCCGCGUGCAGGAUGAAGGCCUUCUGGGUUGUAAACUGCUUUUAUCAGGGAAGAAAACGCUCCUGCGGGAGUAACUGACGGUACCUGAUGAAUAAGCACCGGCUAACUCCGUGCCAGCAGCCGCGGUAAUACGGAGGGUGCAAGCGUUGUCCGGAUUUAUUGGGUUUAAAGGGUGCGUAGGCGGCCCGUUAAGUCAGCGGUGAAAUCCCACGGCUCAACCGUGGAACUGCCGUUGAUACUGGCGGGCUUGAGUUCGGUCGAGGCGGGCGGAACUGGUGGUGUAGCGGUGAAAUGCAUAGAUACCACCAAGAACCCCGAUUGCGUAGGCAGCUCGCUGGGCCGAAACUGACGCUGAGGCACGAAAGCGUGGGGAGCGAACAGGAUUAGAUACCCUGGUAGUCCACGCCGUAAACGAUGAGUACUCGAUGUUGGCGAUACACAGCCAGCGUCCAAGCGAAAGCGUUAAGUACUCCACCUGGGGAGUACGCCCGCAAGGGUG
rnacentral:rRNA from 1 species